rnacentral:tRNA from 1 species
CUAGUAUAAGUGUAAUUUAGCACAUUAAGUUUUCUCCUUAAAAGGGUUCUAAUUAAGAACAUAUUAGA